GUUGCUUUGGCAGAAUAGUGUGAUAGAUUUAGGAUCUUUUUAUGUAGCGAGUAUAACUACAGGUAACA
rnacentral:tRNA from 1 species